rnacentral:lncRNA from 1 species
GAGAACAAAGGAAGGAGGAAGUAACUGGUGGAAUGCUGAGAAAGCAUUUCAGUGUGCGGCAUCAUCAUGCAAGCUCUGUAAGAGGAGAGUAAGAUCAGUACUCCUACUUGUAAAUGAAAGAGAAGAAAACAAAAACAAGCAAAUUCCUUCUAAGGUGUGAGGAACACGAGUAAACAGAGAAAUCACCUAAGGAGAAAACAGGAAGCAGAUUUGAAACUGUGGCCACCAACGACACGAGGGAGCGCAAAACCCAGCCCACUUGCCAGGGAGGCUGGCAGAGCCCACACCCAGUCUGGUGCCCUGGUCGGUUACAUUCUGCUGAAAAAAUGUGAACGCAAAUUACGUUGUUCUUUCGGGAUGUACACUUCUCCCGCCUACGACCGAAUAGUGAAUAAGGUUCACAGGGAUUAUGUGAAUCCUGGGCAGGUCCUGAGCUACUCAGCAUUGAACAGCAUUCGAGGCCACUGCAGUGGAGCCACUCUCAUCAGUAACAGGUGUAUUCUCCCCUGGUUUUCAUCCUAAUACCAAGCAAGUGGGAUCUUGUAAGCAUGUGGUUUUUCUGCCCUUUCCUGGCAGUUGUCAGAUUUGUACUUACGUAGCAGCCAGGAGUACAUUAUUGUUUCCAAGGAAAGGAAAUGGCACAUCUCUUUGACAUUGCAAGAUCUGACCCACUGCUUUAAUUAGCAUUUUUACAGAAAAUAAUCUGAAAUGACAGGCAGUCUUUCCUACUUCCUUUCUGCAUUUCAGUUUUGAAGCAGCGUUCAAAAUCAGUUGUGGAUCAAGUCAAGAUGAACUCUGAAACAAUACUUUAAAUACCCCUGGAUGAUUUUGAAGCUCCCUGCAGCAUUUUUAGAAGGUACCAAAUAAGAAAAACGUGGAUGAAGAUGGAGAAAGCAUACAAAACUUUUACACACUGGUUUGAAGCUGUCACCGCGCGGAACAUAAAGAACAGGCCAAGACCAGUGCAGGCAUCGACGACUUUCUCCAUUCAGAGCCUCCGCG